GGCCCGCACCACAGAACGCCUGAGAUUUUCACCAGCAUCAUGCGGAUCCUGUUGCUCCUUGUCUCCUUGGCUGCCCUCGGCCACGGCGCGGUACCAGUUCACAACUCUACCAGGAAAGGUCCCUGUCCAGACCCUGCCGGCAAAAACUCCCAGUUCACACACUGCCUGGACAUGUCCCUGUCCAGACCCUGCCCGGAAAGGUCCCAGUUCACACCCUGCCCGGAAAGCUACCUGUCCAAACCCUGCCUGGACAUGUGCCUGUCCAGACCCUGCCCGGAAAGCUUCCUGUCCAGACCCUGCCAGGAAAGCUCCCUGUUCAUUCCCUGCAAACCGGGCCGCACGUGUCCCUGUCCCGCCCUUACUCCGGAUAUAGCUACGGCUCCAGAACAAGCUGCCGGAGGAGGUGCCCCGCCUCUGCCUCUCUUCAGGCAAUCUGCUGCAGGCGCUGGGGCUCUUGCUGCUACAGGACACCCUACAGUGGCUAAUCAACGCCUUCCUGUACCAAUGAUGACCAUCGCUUUGGACUGAAUUCUGGAUACGAAGCAAACACAUCACCUGUGAAGAUGGAGGGAGUGUUGUGUUGGGUGGAGAGAAGCCUUCUGCUGUACUGUCCUGUUUAGUAGUUAAUUAAGAAUAGUUCUUUAACAGCCACGCAGAUACGCAAAGCUUUUUUUUUCCAGUGUAAUGCUGUAAACUUGUAAGCAUCGUGGAUUUAAAAUGUUUUCCUUGUAUUUCUACGUUAGUUUCGUAGACUUUUUUUUUCUUUAGUUUUAAAAAGGUCAGGUUUACGAAUUUUUCUUUGUGUCUUUUCCACUUUUAAACUUCUUACAUUGUUGGCAUUCUAUUAGGUAAGCCUGUCUCUUACUUUGAUCCUUAACCUUAACUCCAGGUGGCUGACUCGUAACCAUAUCCUUGUGAAAUAAAUUAUAGCGCAGU